rnacentral:hammerhead_ribozyme from 1 species
AUCCAGCUGGCGAGUCCAAAAAUAGGACGAAACGCGCAUCCUGGAU